rnacentral:rRNA from 1 species
CACACACCGCCCGUCACAUGACGGAAGUCGGUUCUACCCGAAGCCACCGUGCUAACCGCAAGGAAGCAAGUGUCGAAGGUAGAGUCGGUAACUGGCGUG